rnacentral:rRNA from 1 species
UAGGGAAUCUUCCGCAAUGGACGCAAGUCUGACGGAGCAACGCCGCGUGAGUGAAGAAGGUUUUCGGAUCGUAAAACUCUGUUGUUAGAGAAGAACAAGUGCUAGAGUAACUGUUAGCGCCUUGACGGUAUCUAACCAGAAAGCCACGGCUAACUACGUGCCAGCAGCCGCGGUAAUACGUAGGUGGCAAGCGUUGUCCGGAUUUAUUGGGCGUAAAGCGAGCGCAGGCGGUUCCUUAAGUCUGAUGUGAAAGCCCCCGGCUCAACCGGGGAGGGUCAUUGGAAACUGGGGAACUUGAGUGCAGAAGAGGAGAGUGGAAUUCCAUGUGUAGCGGUGAAAUGCGUAGAUAUAUGGAGGAACACCAGUGGCGAAAGCGGCUCUCUGGUCUGUAACUGACGCUGAGGCUCGAAAGCGUGGGGAGCGAACAGGAUUAGAUACCCUGGUAGUCCACGCCGUAAACGAUGAGUGCUAGGUGUUAGGUCCUUUCCGGGACUUAGUGCCGCAGCUAACGCAUUAAGCACUCCGCCUGGGGAGUACGACCGCAAGGUUG